rnacentral:rRNA from 1 species
ACUCAAAUGAAUAGACGGGGGCCCGCACAAGCGGCGGAGCAUGUGGAUUAAUUCGAUGCAACGCGAAGAACCUUACCUGGGUUUGACAUGCACAGGACGCUGGUAGAGAUAUCAGUUCCCUUGUGGCCUGUGUGCAGGUGGUGCAUGGUUGUCGUCAGCUCGUGUCGUGAGAUGUUGGGUUAAGUCCCGCAACGAGCGCAACCCUUGUUCCAUGUUGCCAGCGGAUAAUGCCGGGGACUCAUGGGAGACUGCCGGGGUCAACUCGGAGGAAGGUGGGGAUGACGUCAAAUCAUCAUGCCCCUUAUGUCCAGGGCUUCACACAUGCUACAAUGGCCGAUACAGAGGGUGGCGAGACCGUGAGGUGGAGCGAAUCCCUUAAAGUCGGUCUCAGUUCGGAUUGGGGUCUGCAACUCGACCCCAUGAAGUUGGAGUCGCUAGUAAUCGCAGAUCAGCAACGCUGCGGUGAAUACGUUCCCGGGCCUUGUACACACCGCCCGU